AUGAAAUGUAUGAAUGUUUUUAACAAUAAUAUUGAAAGGUAAAGACGUUUUGUGCAAAUAAUCUUUAGGAAUCUUUGGUUACUUUAAUUUCGGUUGAAAAUGGUAGUGAAAUCAUGAGUUAGCACUAUUUUACACUAAAUUUUCUUACUAAAUUAACAUAGAACUUCAAAUUUCUUACAUUUUGGUCACUAUUUGAAUACUAAACAUGGCGGGAAAAAAAUCCUAUGUGGAAUACUUUCAUAUUUUAACAUUGGAUAAAUGGUUGCUAUUAAAAUCAAAACCAAUUUUAAAAAUUAAAAAAAAAACAAAUCUCGAGGAAUAAAAUCCCUAAAAGUAAAGAAAAAAACAAACACCCUUUAAAAAAAAUUAGCACCUGUUUGAUAUUGAUUUUUCAUUUAAAAAAAUUAAUUUUUUAACUGUUAUUUCACUAUUCAGCCUUUAUUUUUUUUAUCUCUUUUUUUACAUUUGAGAUUCACUUUCCUCUCUAAUAAUCAAAAAAUUAAUUUUCAUAAUCAUUACCGAACAAGCCUUUAAAUUAGAAAGAAACAAAAUAGAGACAUUGGGAACUUAAAUGUAAGGCUCUUUAGAAGUGAACCAAUAGAGGAAGAAACCUUUUGGUAUUUUGUAAAUUUUCCGCUCUCCAACCCUUUGUUUCUCUCAUAUUCCACCUCUAGUUUCCACUACUUGCUACUUUUUUCGUUGAGAAUAAGACAAUAAAAGAUUUUUCUUUUGUUUUUCCUUUUUUUGGUUUUUUUGAUUGAAUUAUAGAGUAUAAUUGUUUUUUGUUCUCUUAAAAAUGACAUCGACUUUUAACGCUACAGUAAAGGAAAAUCAUCUACCAGGAACACAAUUGAUACAAACUUGAAAUAUUGGGAUCGACUCUUUGAUAAGUGCAUUUUAUGCAUUUAAUCGGAUUACAUAACUAGGCUUUUAUGUCGUCAAAUUAUUAAUUUUUACCUAACUUGUAUUAAUUUUCUUUUGUUUUUAGUUAGAGACCUGUUUUGAAGCAAUUGAAAAAGAAAAUAAUCAAUUGGCCAUUAAAGUGAAGUUUGUGGACUAAAUCUCGCGUGAUAAAAAUUGGAGGAUCAAAAUUUAGGAAACAAUGGAGAAAGUGACUAACUUGCAUUAAUUAUGAUGAAGUGAGGCCUUGGAGGAUAAAUUGCAAUUAAUUUGGGCCUCAACUUGGACUCAGUUAAAAAUAAAAUCAAUUGGCCAGCUUAAAUUUUACUUGGGCUAAAAUUACUUGCAAUUUGAAAAACUUAGGGCAAUUAAAAAGAAGAAAACAAGUUGAGGAAGAAAGAGGGGCUGCAAUUGAUAGAUACAUACCAACAGAAAACGCAAGAGAGGGACAAGUCCGCCGAAGGCUCAAUUGAAGACACAAAACGUCAGAAUAAAAGAACAAGUCGGCCUGUUGCUGAGGGAUAAUUAGUGGGCUACAAAGUUGAAUUAAACACACAUAUAUAUACCCACAUAAAGCUGAAAGUGGGAGGAGGAUUGGAGUGCCUUUUUGAUAAUCAAACAUUGGGCAACAAGAUUGGAAUAAACCAUAUAAAUUCAUAGAAAACACAAGCUGCUGAGGAUUGGAAUUGUAUACAAAAAGUGGCGGCUGGAAUUGAUUUUGGAAUUUAGAUUACAAGUGGCGGCUGCUGGGGAAAUAUAUACAUAUUUUACACGCAUGCAAGCCCGGAAUUGGAUACAUCUACACGGUAAAAGAGAACAGUUUGGAGACGGAAUUGGGCUGAAAUUUUGAUACGUAUAUUAAUCACGUUUCGUCGAUUUUUGGUGAUUUCUUUUAUCCUUUGUUGUUUAAUUUCAACAUUCUGCUCGGCUAAAUUAUUUUGUGCUAGGAUUUGUGAUGAACCUUAUAUUAUG
rnacentral:lncRNA from 1 species